UCCAAAUCUGGAAUCCUGACUAUCUUAUUUUAAACAAGUCAGAGAUUGCAAGCUUCAAUCUGUUUGGAUAGAAAAGAAUUUAUAUAAAUGUUUUGUUCAAGCCUAAAAGGGAAAGAGAGUUUAAAUAUACAGUGCAUGAAAGAUGCAUGCCCAACUUCAAAACAGCUUAGUGCACAGAAGAGGAAAAAUAAUCUAACCUUCUGUUAGUCAUUCCCAGCAGUUUUUAAGCUUAAAUAUUUUACAAUUUGCAAUGUUGUUUCAAUGACCCUAACAGUAAGAGAUUAACCAAAAUUUCAUAACUGCCCUGUUCGGCCUCCCCUCCUGGAUCAGGGGUGGGCAGGGGGAGAGCAGGGGGGAGUGAGGGCUGCAAAACAAGAAGGUCAAAGAACAAAUGGAAACAAAAUCUGUAUUUUGCACCCUUGCUCUGCACUUGAGAAAGAAAAACGAGGCAGAUAAAUCUGUAUAAUACUAAACCAAAUCUCUUUAAUUCCAGUCCGCUUUUAUCAUUCAGUCACUGAGUGUGAGUGUGUGUGUGUGUGUGUGUGUGUGUGUGGAAAAAUUCAUGCUAAUUCCCCCUAGCAACAGCCUCAGCCUAUCAGGAGACUUUAUGUACCAUGCAGCUGCCAGCCAAGGAGAAUAACUCUAAGUAGGUCAGGCCUGUAUUUCUAAAAAUGCUACGGUCUAGUAACCCCAGUGUCCCGUCUGUCUGGCCUGCCCCAUAAUAACCUCAAUUGCUUGGUGACACAAUGACAUACUACGCUGUUAGAGCGCAAUCACAUCACGCUACAUUAUUCUGUGCCGAGCAUCACUGCUGGGUGAAGGACCCUCGGAGGGGCAGCAUUAAUCAGGCAGCCAUUCAUGUCCACCCGCACUUCACUCCCAAAAUGGGGACUGCAUUAAUGACCAGCUGUUUGAACUAACACAAACAAAAUAAUGUCUUCCACCCUGUUGGGUGCACAGAAUACUCUCUUCUGAUCUGGCAGGUUCUGCUUCUUGACUAAAUCGAAGAUGUAAAUUUCAACGGGCUCAGACAAUGUCAGCUUUGGCAAGCUCGGAGUAAGUAUAUUUAAAUGAUAUUACAUGUGAUUCAAAAAGCUAUUGAUUUAAUACACACAGCUUUCUCUGCCUACAAUUUUCCCUAAUCCACAUUAAAAAGGGAAAUGCAUACACGGGAAGGCAAGACAUAGGUACCUAUUACCCAGAAAGCCAAAUGCACAGAGCUGAACGAAAAUUGACUUCUCUUUGGGGAGAGAAACAAAGCGGGUCAGGAGUAAUUGUGCAGCGUGAACACAAAUACAAAUACCACAUGAAUGUUGUGGCGGAGCGCUGAAAACAAAUAAGAGUAAACACUCUAAGCCGACCAACCAAUCAGCUCCUCCCACCAUGGCUUCGUGGGGGUUGUAGUAAUAACCAAAAUCUCUGAGCCCACGGGAAGAAGCAGGAAUGGGCUCCAGGCCUUCAAAUCUCAACCACACCAUGGAGUCCCGCCUUUGCCUGUGAUGACUGGCAAGCUGCGAUUGGCUUUAAGAAAACCGAGGCUCCUUCAAGGCUUCGGUGAGGCUGGCCACAAACAUCAGUGCCCCGCAAUCAUUUCUGAACUUUUCACUGGAAAUUUUAGAAUUUCAAGUGGCUCUACUUUUGAAGGUAGCUCUUGAAUUCACUCUAUUUUCAUGCAGAAAACAAGCAAGCAGAAAUGAUGUGAGGUUGCUUCAGUAGGAGACUAGCCAGGCAGCGGUAGGCAUUGAGGGAUAAUUUUUGUUUCGAGACAGCUUGUUCUGAUUGGCUCUUGCACAGUGAAUCUGCAUUUUUAUGGGUCCACAGAUUUAUUUCCCAACUAUACCCCCCCCCACAACUUCCUAAUUCAGUGUUAGUGAUGUAGAAUUCAGCAAGUCUUCUAUAUGUAAUCCAUCAGUAUUUGAUUUACAAACAUAGAAAAUUCCUUAAUCCGUGUGCCCUUGUUUGAACUGGGUUUGAUAACUUAGUUAUGACUAUCUUCUUCACUCUGGGGCACACAUCACAUAGUUAUUCUUGGAGAGAGAUAGUCACUGACGCAACCAUGAACCGCUAAUUACAAGCUGCUGACAUUCUGCUUGCCUAUGCAGCUUUGAAGUUCUAAGUCUGUUUUUCUGUCCCAUAUGCUUGCUCAGUUAGAUUCUCCUCCUCUUCUCCCAAUUACCCCCUCUUCCUUUCUUUCCAUUUUUAGCCUUUCGGGAUUCAUUCUAGGACUCUCUGGAGAAAGCAGUAACAGCGAUCGGAUCCUCUCCAAUUUGCUUUCUUUCCAUUCCCUCCCUUUACUCUGUGCACACAGAUCUACAGUUUGAAAGUACAGUAAUAAGAUCCCCACCCAGCCCCGCCCGCAGGAAUGCAUCAACAGCUGGCCAAACAUAAUCCAGCACACAGAGCUGCCUUUGUAGAAUUAGUAACAAACAGUGGAAGGGCCAGACAGGCGACCCAGAAGAGCUCCCCAUGACAACUAGGAGACUCUCCUGGCCAACUUAGAGCGGACAUUACUGAGCCGAGCUGCAGUUCUGAGCUCGUGCAUCUGAAGCCAGAGCCAGCGUCCUCCAGAGCCGCCCACCACCUCCCCAGCGCCUGUUCCCUAGGCACUCGCCUCUCCACAAGGCAAGUUAGAUUAGCCUGCUUUCUCCAUCCUGACAGUGGCGAGCCACAGUCAUCCGCAUGUCUCGAGCCCUACGAAUGCCACACCCCAAUCUCUGAAACCCACGAAUGGCAUCCACACCUGCAGGGAUUUGUAGAAGAAGAAGACAACAAAGCCCCACAAUCAGUUCUAGCAGAGAACACAGCACUCAGAACUUCAAGGAGUUAAAGCUGAGGGGGCUUGCUUUCACAUUAACGAGAAAAUUCUGUAUGCAGCUGCACUGCCCGCGUUCUCUAGCUAGUCAGGAAAUGGGUGUUGAGCUGAAGCUGAAAAUACAAGCUGCAAUCAAGCCCGAUCCAGCAAAGUGACAGACUUCCUGUGCAAAAUGGUCAGAAAUCUUUUUUUUUUUCAUGUCUCUACAUGCAUGCACAUGCAUUUAAAUCCAUGCUGCAGGGCUGCUCUUUCCUCUGGGGACUCUGGUACAGUCACCUAGCCCAUCAGUUUCUUCCUUGACAGCACCGGGGACAUCCAGACUACAAUUUACAGUUCCUCCAUCCAUGUACUGGGUUAUAAAUUAUGCCAUCCUCCCUAGAAUGAGAAUGUAGAGCAAGCGGCGGACCAACGGCAUCCAGCAUCUCUCCUCGCUCCUCUUUCUUUUCACGCGCUCCCUCACUCUGCCUCCAGCUCUGCCUCUUCAGACAGAUACAUCAGAUACCUGGUUUAUCCAUCUUCAGCUCCAUUCUCAGGUAACGUGCCACCACAUCCCAGCAAGGAUCUCCCCCCAGACUAGUGCCCCGGAAGAGCCCAAGUUGGGUGCCUUGCUGGUGGACUGGUGGGCACUGGACAUAGGUAUUCCUAACUUCCCCUUCCCCGGUCCUUCGCGUCCUUUCUAUCGUCCCACCCCGGAUCUUCUGCAGCUCCGUCCUGUCCUCCAAGUGCCCUCAUCCAGCUGCGAGGUGGCCCCGGCCAGGUCUCCAUGAGCUGGUCGUUCUUCCGCAGUGCGCAGACGAACCAGUCCGGAUUCGGGUGCACCGUGGCGAAGCCGAGGCGGGUAGACAGCAGGAGCAGCACAGGUAACCCGGGGAAGCUUGGCGUGCCCACAGCAAUGCAGCCCUGGAGCUGUGAGGAAAGACGAUCUGGCUUCAGAAUAAAAAAAAAAAAAAAAAA